AGUUUCUGAGGCAUAGUUAGAAGAUGUUUGAUACACAGUUUUGCUCUGGCGAAGAUGGUAGAAACUUCUAUGAGAAGUUCGCAAAGUCUUUUUCGUUUUUCUUCAGAAAAUUGACAUAAAUGUAAAUGAAACAAAGAUGAAUUGCAGGUCAAAGCCAAUAAGGUGGCAGGCCUCUCAUGUCACUUCUAGAUUUCCGAUGUCACAAGGAAACAUGAGUUUCUUCUCAAAGGGAACAACCCCGAGACAGUGAUCAAGAAGUUACUACGUAUUGUAGAUUUCAUGAACCUUUUCCUGUUUGUUCCAAGUGUAAAAUAUAUAGGUUCAUUGGAAACAUCUGCAAGACAAUGUUAAGGAAAAAUUGUAAACUUCUGGGGAAAUAGAUUACAUCUUCAUACGAAUUUAGCUUCUUGAGAUUUUAUGGUUGACUUGAUAAAAGUGAAGAAAAAUUACUGUUAAAAUUAGCUAUCAUUCUCCUUUCUGUCAACUAUAAUUUACAAUCAACAAUAGUUAAGAUGAGAGUUCUGGUGGGCUUUCUGUAUUUCAGACCUUUUUCUUCGAUGCCUCAUCAGAAGGUCUUGAACGCGGCCCCG
rnacentral:misc_RNA from 1 species